GCUAAAGUUGCUCUUCUGCCUCUUGUGGGUUCAUUUUUCGGCCUUUACACCGGUACCAGGCCUGCCACAUGAUUCUCAGUUCUGAUCCAGUGGCUGACCCAACACACACAGAUGUACACACAACUGACGGUCUCAUGAACUAUGCUUCUUGUUGACCCUUUAUUCAUCUUGGCAAAAUCAACCUGCCAUAUCUGCGUAUGCCCCAUUCUGCUCAGUGUCAACAACUCAGUAAUUAUUUCACAAAUAAAGAAAACCUUGUUUUUGA